UGAGUAACCUGCCCUUCACUUCGGGAUAACUCCGGGAAACCGGGGCUAAUACUGGAUAUGACCUGGUGCCGCAUGGUGCUGGGUGGAAAGUUUUUCGGUGAGGGAUGGACUCGCGGCCUAUCAGCUUGUUGGUGAGGUAAUGGCUCACCAAGGCGACGACGGGUAGCCGGCCUGAGAGGGUGACCGGCCACACUGGGACUGAGACACGGCCCAGACUCCUACGGGAGGCA
rnacentral:rRNA from 1 species